UACGUAGGUGGCAAGCGUUACUCGGAAUCACUAGGCGUAAAGCGCAGGUAGGCGGUUGGAUAAGUUUCUUGUGAAAGCUCCUGGCUUAACUGGGAGAGGUCAAGGAAUACUGUCUGACUUGAGUGUGGUAGGGGUAACUGGAAUUCCCGGUGUAGCGGUGAAAUGCGUAGAUAUCGGGAGGAAUACCUAUGGCGAAGGCAGGUUACUGGGCCAUCACUGACGCUGAGCUGCGAAAGCUAGGGGAGCAAACAGG
rnacentral:rRNA from 1 species